rnacentral:rRNA from 1 species
AUUGAACGCUGGCGGCAUGCCUUACACAUGCAAGUCGAACGGCAGCACGGGAGCAAUCCUGGUGGCGAGUGGCGAACGGGUGAGUAAAGUAUCGGAAAGUGCACAGUCGUGGGGGAUAACGUAGCGAAAGUUACGCUAAUACCGCAUACGAUCUAUGGAUGAAAGCGGGGGAUCGCAAGACCUCGCGCGAUUGGAGCGGCCGAUAUCAGAUUAGGUAGUUGGUGGGGUAAAGGCUCACCAAGCCGACGAUCUGUAGCUGGUCUGAGAGGACGACCAGCCACACUGGGACUGAGACACGGCCCAGACUCCUACGGGAGGCAGCAGUGGGGAAUUUUGGACAAUGGGCGAAAGCCUGAUCCAGCCAUGCCGCGUGCAGGAUGAAGGCCUUCGGGUUGUAAACUGCUUUUGUACGGAACGAAAAGGUUUGGGCUAAUAAGCUGAGCUCAUGACGGUACCGUAAGAAUAAGCACCGGCUAACUACGUGCCAGCAGCCGCAGUAA